rnacentral:rRNA from 1 species
GAAACAGGUUAAUAUUCCUGUACUUGGUGUUACUGCGAAGGGGGGACGGAGAAGGCUAUGUCAGCCGGGCGACGGUUGUCCCGGUUUAAGCAUGUAGGCGGAGGUUCCAGGUAAAUCCGGUACCUUUUAACGCUGAGGUGUGAUGACGAGGCACUACGGUGCUGAAGUGAUAAAUGCCCUGCUUCCAGGAAAAGCCUCUAAGCAUCAGGUAACACGAAAUCGUACCCCAAACCGACACAGGUGGUCAGGUAG